rnacentral:tRNA from 1 species
AAGAAAGAAGCAUAAGCGGUUUGAUGCGGUUGGCUUGAAACCAGCGUACGAGGGUUCGACUCCUU